rnacentral:rRNA from 1 species
AUUGAACGCUGGCGGCAUGCUUUAUACAUGCAAGUCGUGCGGCAGCGCGGGGGCAACUCUGGCGGCGAGCGGCGAACGGGUGAGUAAUACAUAGGAACGUAUCCUGAAAUGGGGGAUAGCUCGGCGAAAGCCGGAUUAAUACCGCAUACGCUCCACGGAGGAAAGCAGGGGAUCGCAAGACCUUGCGUUUCUGGAGCGGCCUAUGUCUGAUUAGCUAGUGGCGGGGUAAUAGCCCACCAAGGCGACGAUCAGUAGCUGGUCUGAGAGGAUGAUCAGCCACACUGGGACUGAGACACGGCCCAGACUCCUACGGGAGGCAGCAGUAGGGAAUUUUGGACAA